rnacentral:rRNA from 1 species
CACGCACACACGCGCGGCAUAUCAAUAAGCGGAGGAAAAGAAACUAACAAGGAUUCCCUUAGUAACGGCGAGUGAAGCGGGAAGAGCUCAAAUUUGAAAUCUUCAAGGUUUUACCUUGACGAAUUGUAGUUUAUAGAAGUGUUUUCUGUUAGUGGAGUGGCAAAAGUUCUUUGGAAUAGGACAUCAUAGAGGGUGAGAAUCCCGUAUUUGGUCAUUCCUUCCUAGCGUUGUGAUACACUUUCAAAGAGUCGGAUUGUUUGGGAAUGCAGUCCAAAAUGGGUGGUAAAUUUCAUCUAAAGCUAAAUAUUGGCGAGAGACCGAUAGCGAACAAGUACCGUGAGGGAAAGAUGAAAAGAACUUUGAAAAGAGAGUUAAACAGUACGUGAAAUUGUCAAAAGGGAAGCGUUUGACACCAGUGUUGUUUUUCCGAAAAUCAAUUACGAAUGUUUUGUUUUUAAGAAGUUAUGACUUCAUCGGCUUGCUUCUUUCUUUAUGAAACUUUCUUAAUGCACUUUUCGGUUAACAAGUCAACAUCAAUUUCUUUUGUUGUAAAAGGGUAUGAGGAAGGUGGCUUUCUUUUCGGAGAAAGUGUUUAUAGCCUUGUGCCUCUGCAAUCGGAGAGAUUGAGGUCUGCAGCGUAGAUCCUUCGGGGUUAGAUACGUUUGUGCUAAGUUAUAGCUUUUCAUAGACAACUUGUUGACUAUGUUUAGUCUUGUAGCUUACUUGCUGACGCUAUUUUACCUACGCUUAGGAUGUUGAUAGUCACAGCGUGUAC